ACAUGCUGUCAGCGCUUUAAAAUGAGACUUUCCGUGUCACUGGUGUGGCAGGAUCAAAGAUCAAUCUGCUGUACCGUUAGUGUGGAUCUGUCACUGUACAUUACACUGGAAUUUAAAAAUGAUUUAAGGUUCAUAACUGAAACCAGUCUUCACAUUUGAAUUAGCUUUUAGAGUAAUGGCAAGGAAAGGUACAGAUUAGUACCCUUUUUUCCCCAAAGAGUGUCGCAUGUAGAAAACCUUAAAACACAUGCAAUAAGAAAACAACAACAACAACAACAACAAAACUACAUGACAGAGUUUAGACAGAAUGGGGUAAGAAACAAGAACCUUCCAUCCAGUGAGCGGUAGUUCUUGAUGAGAGGUCAGAUGAGAAUGAUAAGAUCGGUUGGAGCUGACAGGACAGCUACAGUAACUCAGAUAACCACUCUUUACAACCAUGAAUGCGAGGAUGCCACAUCAUCGCAUCUUUCAAGCAGGAAAAUCGAGACGAGACAAUAGCACUGGCCAAAAUAUUACAAAUGUGAGAUGACUGGAAGAGGGCGGAGCUUGGAGGGAGGUCAGUUCAUAUCAGAGAGUUCAACACAUCUACUCAACUGUCAAUCAUUCCAGAUAUAUAUUGAUUGGUUCAUCUGCUUUUUGUUAUUGGGGGACAGUAAUCUAUUCUUUUGCCAUAUUCUUUGUGAUAAUUCGUAGCACUCGUACAGCGAUGUUAAAAUGCGAAUCUUCUACGCAAAAGGCAUCAGCUAAUUAGUUUUCCUCACUAGUCAGCUCGAUUAUUAACGGUAAUAAAACCAGCAGCAGAUUGUAAUGAUGAAAAUUUCACCAUAUCAAUGAUUACACAUUUUGUAAUGUGGAGCAUUCACCAUACAAGUCCCUGUCAACACCUUCUGACCAAUCAGAAUCCAGAAUUCAACUGUGUUGUGGUGUAAGGUGAGAUAACCCAUGCUGCAUUCAUUAACACACCGGCUAAAACCAGUUUUUUUAUGAUAUUUGAGCGUAUCCACAAUGUUGUUUGUAUUUAUCAGCUAUAUUAGCAGUCCAGUUUAAUGUUUUAACCUAAAGCACUCCUAAGCAAACUCAAAGCUUUGCAUGCACAUGAAUGUAAGCAGACAUGUUUCAUCCCUGAGUUGAGUGAGUUGAGAGACAGCAAGGACAAGGAACUGAUACCUGGUUUGAGAACCACUGCUUUACAGCCAUCUAGUGUCAGUAUGCAGACCUGCAGCGUAAAAACUUCACUGUGUUACCUAGGAAGCCUUAAGCUGUUUAUUUAAUUAACCGUUCUGUGAACCUGGAUUAAAAUCUUGUUAAGAAGAGCCCUUUAACAGUGUUAGUGUCUGUCUACUUUAAAAGAUCUUUUAAA